rnacentral:rRNA from 1 species
AGGCAUGCAAGUCGAACGAAGUAGCAAUACUUAGUGGCGGCAAGGGUGAGGAACGCGUGAGUGACCUACCCGCAAGUUUGGAACAGCUCCUGGAAACGGGAAUUAAUACCGGAUGUGAUCAAUGGACUGCAUGGUUUAUUGAUUAAAGCAGUAAUGCGCUUGCGGAUGGGCUCGCGUCCCAUUAGCUAGUUGGUGAGGUAACGGCCCACCAAGGCCAUGAUGGGUAGCUGGUCUGAGAGGACGACCAGCCACACUGGGACUGAGAACUGCCCAGACUCCUACGGGAGGCUGCAGUCGAGAAUUUUGGGCAAUGGACGAAAGUCCUGACCCAGCAAUGCCGCGUGCGGGAUGAAGGUCUUCGGAUUGUAAACCGCUGUUUGGAGGGACGAAAAUUGACGGUACUUCCAGAGAAAGCCACGGCUAACUACGUGCCAGCCGCCGC